AUACAUUUAAAUAGCUAUUACACUGAAAUUAUACACUUUUUAAAAAUUUUUUUUUUUUUUUAUGAUUAUGAUGGUAUUUAUAAAAAAUACUUGGAUUUUAUAUCAUAUUACUAUUUAUUAGUUAAUAUUUUUUUUGUUAAUAAUAUAAAAGCAAAGCAAAAUCACACCAUAUUAGAAAACGAGAUGUCUCAUGUGUAUUAUAAUAAUCAGGUUAAUAACAACAAACUGAAUAGACAAAAAAGCAUAUAUACUCGCAUGCUAAAUAAAGAGAACGAAAUGGAUUAUAGCAAAGGGAAUCAUAACAAUGGAAACUAUGACAAACCGAAUGAAAAAAACAAAAUUGAUGAUAACAAACCGAAUGAAAAAAACAAAAUUGAUGAUAACAAACCGAGCGAACAGUUAGAUAUAUCCAUUUUUAUAAAUGCAACUCAUAAUAUUUUUCAUUUUUUUUUUUAUUUAACACCAGAUGAUAACACACUUAAUAACUUAUUACAAACGGUUUAUACAACAAACGCAAUAGAUGGUAUUACAAGUAAUGAUCAGGACAAACUGUUAGACAAUAGUAUACACUUAUAUAACGCUUUACCACAAGCGUUUACAAGUCGUGAGUCGUUCGUUGGAUUUAUAGAAAAACAAUUUACAAGUGAAGAUAAGCGCACUGUGCGUGAAAAUAAACGGACAACAAGACAAAAAAGGGGAACACUAAACUUUCGUAACCGAUCUUUAUACAACACUAAAGAAUCAAUGUGCGAAAAAAAAAAACCAUCGUGCGAAAAAAAACAACCAUCGUGCGAAAAAAAACAACCANNNNNNNNNNAACCAUCGUGCGAAAAAAAACAACCAUCGUGCGAAAAAAAACAACCAUCAUGCGAAAAAAAACAACCAUCAUGCGAAAAAAAACAACCAUCGUGCAACAACUUUAACAAAUUUUAUCAUACAUUACUACAAAAGGCAAACAUAAAUAAUGCUGCCAUGUUCGACGCUAGUGCAAACGACGUAACGUUAAAAACUAGUGGUAAAAACGGAAAGGACAAUUUAGGCAAAUUUUCUAUUACCUUUAUUCGUAAUAUAACAAACGUACUUACAGAAAAUAUAUUGUAUCUACUAUUUAAUAGUCUAUUUAUAUUAUCUGCUGAAUAUAACAAUUUUUGUUCUUACAUAAAAUCAUAUGAUAAAUAUGUUACUAUGUAUCAAUUUAUCGUAAAAAAAUUAAAACCAUAUAAACAGAAACUAUUUUUAUUAACAUGUAAUAAUAAAAAAGAAUGGAGCAACAUAAAUUUAUAUUAUAAAAAUUCCAAAUAUAUAAAAUUAUUUACUAAUUUUAUUUUGCUUUUACACAACAUCAUUUCUAUCUUAUACAGUUAUAAUGAUCAACUAAUUUUUUUUCUUUUUAAUUUUAUUUUUAAUAUUAACACUGAAAAUUUUAAUUUACUGGGACAUGCUUAUGACAACUAUUUUGCAAUCGAUGUGUGCGAAUAUGAUCACGUUCGUUUGUACGACUAUCAAACGAACAAUUUCAUGCAACCAUAUCAAUCAAAAAAAAAAAAAAAUUCAUUUCAGUUUUGUGACAAACCUAUUAUGAUGUAUAGGUCAUUUUCAUCUGAGUGUUUUGAACAAAAAGAAAAAAUAGAAGAAUGCGAUUAUAAUAAUAAUAACAAUAAUAAUGACAGCAAUAAUAAUAACAAUAAUAAUGACAGCAAUAAUAAUAAUAACAAUAAUGACAGCAAUAAUAAUAAUAACAAUCGUGCUGAUUAUGUUUAUGCGUCCGAUGACGGUAUAUCCCGAGUACCUGCACAAAACCAAUUUAAUAAUAACAAACAUGUUCGAAAAAAGGGAAUCUAUAUAGAUAAUAACACAGAAAUGCAAACAUUUAUAGGCACUAAACGGUAUAACGAAUACCAUCACAAUAACAUACACACUGACAAAUUAAGAAGUCGGUAUAAGAACAAAAACGUACUUCCCGAUACUGUAACACCAAACAUGUCGGACCAUUAUAACAAAGAAGACAAUAUAGUCGCUCCAAAUAAAUAUAUCACGAUAAAUAAUGAUGAACAUACAGAAGAUGAACAGUUUUUUAACAGUAACUCUUGUUCUACCAUUAUAGGUGAAAAAAAAAAUAAGAUAAGUACACAUAAAAGAUUUUUAUCGCUUUUUCAAAUUAUUGAUGUUAUUGAUCUUAUCUAUGAAAUUUGUGUAUACAGCAAAAAAGAAAUAAAAAAUUAUUAUAUAUUUUAUAUUAUUGAAAAUGUAAAAAUGAAUUUAUCAAAUUAUUUCAAAAUUGUAAAAAAUAAACAUAAGGAAGAAAAGAAAAAAUUACUUUUAUUAAACAAUAUUAAAUUAUGUUCUAAAGUAUUAUUAUUUUUAUAUUUUAUAAAAAAACAAUAUAUUACAAUAUUUGAACAAACAAGUUACAACGCUUUUCAUUACUUAUAU
ensembl:lncRNA